CCUACGGGAGGCAGCAGUGGGGAAUCUUGGACAAUGGGGGCAANCCCUGAUCCAGUGACGCCGCGUGACCGAGGAAGGCCCUCGGGUCGUAAAGGUCUUUCAGCGGGGACUAUGGUGAAGGUACCCGCAGAAGCAGGAGCGGCUAACUACGUGCCAGCAGCCGCGGUAAUACGUAGGCUCCAAGCGUUGUUCGGAAUCACUGGGCGUAAAGCGAGCGCAGGCGGCGCGCCGUGCCGGUCGUGAAAUCUCCCGGCUCAACCGGGAGGGGGCGGCCGGGACUGNCUUUNUUAGAGUGCGGCAGGGGAAGGCAGAAUUCCUGGUGNAGCGGUGGAAUGCGUAGAGAUCAGGAGGAAUGCCGGAGGUGGAGACGNCCUUCCGGGCCGCGACUGACGCUGAGGCUCGAAAGCGUGGGGAGCNAANAAGAUUAGAUACCCCGGUAGUCCUGGCCGUAAACGAUGAGCACUGGAUGUGGCGGGUAUUGACCCCUGCCGUGUCGGCGCUAACGCAUUAAGUGCUCCGCCUGGGGAGUACGGUCGCGAGGCUGAAACUCAAAGGAAUUGACGG
rnacentral:rRNA from 1 species